rnacentral:rRNA from 1 species
UACGGAGGGUGCAAGCGUUAUCCGGAUUUACUGGGUUUAAAGGGUGCGCAGGCGGAUAUGUAAGUCAGUGGUGAAAUCUCUAGGCUUAACCUGGAAAUUGCCGUUGAUACUAUAUAUCUUGAAUGCUGUGGAGGUAAGCGGAAUAUGUCAUGUAGCGGUGAAAUGCUUAGAUAUGACACAGAACACCGAUUGCGAAGGCAGCUCACAAAACUGUAACUGACGCUGAGGCACGAAAGCGUGGGUAUCAAACAGG